UACGGAGGGAGCUAGCGUUGUUCGGAAUUACUGGGCGUAAAGCGCACGUAGGCGGCUUUGUAAGUUAGAGGUGAAAGCCCGGGGCUCAACUCCGGAAUUGCCUUUAAGACUGCAUCGCUAGAACGUCGGAGAGGUAAGUGGAAUUCCGAGUGUAGAGGUGAAAUUCGUAGAUAUUCGGAGGAACACCAGUGGCGAAGGCGGCUCACUGGUCCAUUACUGACGCUGAGGUGGCGAAAAGCGUGGGGAGCAAACAGG
rnacentral:rRNA from 1 species